rnacentral:lncRNA from 1 species
AGUAAAUAUAUAUUAGAGUUUAUUUUUUUAUUCGAAGGGAAAAUCUUUAAAUAACAAUAAAAAUAUAAAAUAUUUAUUAGUACAGACCAAUACGAUACACCGUAUUUCCUUCAAACACAAACCAAGGAACUGAAAAUAUUAUUAAUAGAAGUAUAGAACUAGUCGUCAAAAUGGAACGUGGUCUCCUAGCACAGAAGCAAUUUGAUCUUUAAUUAGGUAAGAAUGCGUAUAGCCGUCGUCCUCUUUGUAAAUAAAAUCAAUUGCACGAGCAAGAUUAAGAAUCGUCCCGAGCAGUGGUCGGGCAACGACGGUUGGCUUCAUCAUCAACUCCUCGUUAAUAUCUUUCCAUGCAUUUGCAACUUCUUCUUCAAACAUUUUAAUUGCCUCUUCCUUAGAGACACCAUGCUGCUUCGUGUAACAUUCAAUAGCUGACGCAACAUGUCCUCUCUUCUGCUCAAACUACAUAUAUAAUAACAUAUGGUUUAGUAUCGGUGCCUGUUUAGAUUGGUAUAUAUUAGGAGAUUUAUAAGUAAUUAUAGUAAUUAUUCGAAAAAUUAAAAGUUAAUUUUGAUGUAUACACACACACACCCCACUUUUCAGUGCGCAGAUUUUUAAAAAAUAUAAUAACAUAGAUUGGAGGGUUUUGAUAAAUUUUCUAUAAAAGUGCGGGGUUAUGUAAGCAGUGGAAAAAACUAUAAGGGGAUGUAGUGCCAUUUUCACUUAAUUUAAUUAGUAGUUAGUAAAGUAUUUUUUAUUUUGCAUACCUCAUGACCUUGCAUGUCAUCCAAGAGUCUGCAGAUAACUGAUGCUGCUUUUACAACCUUAGGGUUAUCGGAGAUCCAUUCAAAAACCUCUUUAGUUGCAAAAUCACCCAUCCCAAGGAAGGAAUUUGUUAUGACGAAUGUGUAAGCACAACUUGUUAGUGCAAUAGGCAUAUACUCCUCAAUUGUUGGAACGUAACCUUCACUGAACCAUUUGGCUUGAACAAAGUAUGCUCCAAUUACUUUUUGAUUCUGAGAAGCAAAACGCAGCUAAACCUUAGCCGUUAUAAAAACAAUAAUAAGAAAUAAGUUUUUUAAAUUUUAAUAUACCUGUUGUGAUAUAUUAAUUUGAUCUAAUUAAUUUCUAAGAGCCAAUAAUUCAGUAAGAUUUAUGGUUGAUGAGUGAGAUUUCUCAUCUCCAUCCAAACAAACUUAACAAAUAGAAGGAAACAACCUCCAUUAUAAAACACACUUUUGAUAAGUUUUAUGUAACCUAACAAAUAGCUCCAAGGGCUUAAGCUAAUUAUCCAAUGAAUUCUUAGAUUUGUAAUAAUUCAGGGAGAGAUGUGUUAAAAUUUUAGCAAAAUUUCAGGGGCGAUGAAUGAAAUAUUUUCUAAACUUUUGUGAAACUUAAAUUUACCCAUAGAUAUUUUGUGUAAUUUUAUAGGUGGAGCAGAUAUAUCCCUCCCAAAAUUGUGUACAAUAUGCAUAUCAGUAAUUAAAGAAAAAAAAAUUGGGGAUGAUGAUGCAUACCUCCUCUUUUGCAUAACGUACGCAGUGUGAUCUUCCUUGCUUGGCCAUAUCUUCCUCAAUUUCAUUAAAAGCAUCUAAGAGUGUCCUGUAAAUCAAUUUCAUGUAUUCUGGAAGCAUAUCUACGGCCUCAAUAUUCCAUCUGGAAAUCAAUUUAAUAACCAUUUUAUAAUAAUAGCAACAAAAAUUUAAUUCUGAAAUUCAAAAUUAAUUAGCUAUACGCAGGGCACUAACCUUUGAACUGCUUCAGUAAAGAGGCUGAGUUCUUCAAGUGUACCAUACGCAUCAUAAGUAUCAUCUAUGAUGGAUAAUAUGUAAUUUAAUUGGGUCAUUAUCUUUCUCCCAAAUGCAUAUUGAGGCUCGAAGUAUGUCCCUAAAUCCCAAAAAUAUAACUCCACUAAUCUGUCUCUUGCAUAAGGUAGUUUUGUAGUGAAGUCUAAAUCUUUCCACCACCUGAAAUAAGAAUAUAUACAUGUGUCACGAUUCUAUUGAUUGGAUGUACGACGGAGGUAUAAAAGAAUUUCUCCCUAUCGAAAGAACUUACUUUGUUAAUUCAUUGAGUUCCUCCUUGUGCAGCUCUAGCAAUAUGUUAAAAUCUAACUUUGCAAAAUUCAGCAGAGUUUUAUUGUGUAAAUGAUCACUUGUUGAAUUGAUCAUGGACAUAAAAUACCUCGCCUCUAAUCUUGGUAGGGUUUUACGAAGAGGACGGUAUAAAGCAUGAUUUAUCUGUUCCGCAAGCUUAGGGGUUACAUGAUCCUGAGCUACCAAUGACUUCAGGUGAGUGGUAGUGAAAGCAAUGGCUUCAUCUAAUAUAUGUUCUCCGCGAACUGCCAUGUAUGCUGCCUCGUACAAACUUAACAUCCCUUGAACAUCGUUUAUCAACGAUGACUUGAAUCUACCCUCAUCAUCUUUGAACUUCUCAAACACAUCUGAUUAUCACAUUCAAAAAGUAAAUUACUGAAGGCUUACAUGAUUAAUAAUUAGUCAAUGAUUUUGUAAUUGCAAUAAUGUUAGAGCCACAAAUUCUUCAUACAUUACAAACUCAUCAAGUCGCAUCAUAAUUUUGGUUAGAUAAAUAUACCACAUGACUUAUUUUCAUUAUUAUUUUUAUUAAUCAAUCAAUACUCUUAUAUGAAAAUAAAAAAGUAGGGUGAGGGUAAAAUCUAAAUUGAUAUUUUAGCCCCGGCCUAGCUUACAUUAUUCAAACUCAAGUGGUUAGCUAAAGAAAACUACUUGAAAAUCAGUCGUCCAAAUCUCUAGAGACAAAUACAAUAAAAAGUGUUUGUGACUGUCGCAUUACUCACAAUUGUAAUAGCUUGAGUGAGAUUACAUACCACAUGAAAUCUUGAUUCCUUGCUGCCUAAGCAAUCGAAAAUGAAGAGAAACGGUGUGAAGAUCAGGGCUAUUACUGUGAAUAUAGUUUGGACAUAAUUUUUGUAUUGCAUCUUCUAUUUCUUUCUCAAAGUGAUAAGCCACCCCCAGGCGUUGUACUUCAUCAAUCAAGCGUAACUUCUGAACAGGCUUAUCUUCAGCAUCUGUUAUCAUUCUCCUUACCUCUUCUUUCAGUGCCUCGUGUCGUUCUUGAGUUGCAGUAUGAUCAACUGUCUGAAGCACAAAAAAUAAUUUGUUAAAUUCAUACAAUAUCUGAUGAAUGGUCAAUUUAAAAAAAAAAAAAGCUGCUUUAAAACCAUUUGGUCAAACUCCUGAAGAUACGGUACAUGCUCACUUAACAAAUCGAGUCCUAUAUGGGAUGUUUGGGUUCAUCUUUACCUUGAAAUCAGAAGCACCUUUGAGGAAAUGGUUUCUCCAUAAACUAGGAUGGAAAUCUGCAGUAGGACGAAAUGUUUCUCCAGACGACAUUUUUGUGUCAGACAAACGGGUGCUGCAGAAUUUUGAUAUUUCUGUGGAAUUAUAAUUUGUAUUUCUACUACUACUGCACCCUUUAAUAUAUACUAAUUCGAUUAUAUCAAGACGGACGCAUGCAACUUGUCUUGAAAGCCUUUUAAUUUAAUUUAUUAUCAAUUCCGAUUCAUUUAAACGCUUGGAUGCAUGGAAACCACGUGAUGGGUCAAUUUUUGACUUUCUGUUAGAUUCUCAAAAUUGUGUCAAUUUUUUUUUCUUUUUCUUUUUGGCCUAUUUAUAACUUAUGGUUUUAAUGGAAAGAUUUUAGUGCAUAUCUGUAUCAUAUUGACAAGUGACAACAACUAGUGUAUUUACUGGGAUAAUUAUUUUUCAGGUAACUCGUUCUCUGUUUAAUCGCAACAAAAUGGCUUGUCUCUAAUUAGAGUUUGAUUAUAUGUUUAAGCUCUUGGUUCUAUUUAGAGUUAGGACUCCAGAAAGUGUUCGUAGAGUUUACACGUACAAGAGAAAUUUUGUUGCUUGCAAUAUUUGGCAUGUAAGGCGGAUGAAAAAUAGGCUUGGGCAUAUGUAUUACAUUGUUUCGGAGUUAGUGCUGAGAUUUUGGCUAACUUUUUAGAAAUAUAUAAUUAGUAGUUAUUUGGAUAAAAAUAUAAAACUAAUUAAAUUUUAACUAUGUAUACGUUUAGGUAUGGAAAAAGACUAUAAAAAAGUUUAGCACAGUUAAACUCAGUAUUGGAUCCAAAUCUGUAAUACAUGGGAACUAUUGAACCUAUCAAGAAGAGCUGACUUGUUAGAAAGAGAUUUGUAAUAAUUCAGGGAGAGAUGUGUUAAAAUUUUAGCAAAAUUUCAGGGGCGAUGAAUGAAAUAUUUUCUAAACUUUUGUGAAACUUAAAUUUACCCAUAGAUAUUUUGUGUAAUUUUAUAGGUGGAGCAGAUAUAUCCCUCCCAAAAUUGUGUACAAUAUGCAUAUCAGUAAUUAAAGAAAAAAAAAUUGGGGAUGAUGAUGCAUACCUCCUCUUUUGCAUAACGUACGCAGUGUGAUCUUCCUUGCUUGGCCAUAUCUUCCUCAAUUUCAUUAAAAGCAUCUAAGAGUGUCCUGUAAAUCAAUUUCAUGUAUUCUGGAAGCGUAUCUACGGCCUCAAUAUUCCAUCUGGAAAUCAAUUUAAUAACCAUUUUAUAAUAAUAGCAACAAAAAUUUAAUUCUGAAAUUCAAAAUUAAUUAGCUAUACGCAGGGCACUAACCUUUGAACUGCUUCAGUAAAGAGGCUGAGUUCUUCAAGUGUACCAUACGCAUCAUAAGUAUCAUCUAUGAUGGAUAAUAUGUAAUUUAAUUGGGUCAUUAUCUUUCUCCCAAAUGCAUAUUGAGGCUCGAAGUAUGUCCCUAAAUCCCAAAAAUAUAACUCCACUAAUCUGUCUCUUGCAUAAGGUAGUUUUGUAGUGAAGUCUAAAUCUUUCCACCACCUGAAAUAAGAAUAUAUACAUUUGUCACGAUUCUAUUGUUUGGAUGUACGACGGAGGUAUAAAAGAAUUUCUCCCUAUCGAAAGAACUUACUUUGUUAAUUCAUUGAGUUCCUCCUUGUGCAGCUCUAGCAAUAUGUUAAAAUCUAACUUUGCAAAAUUCAGCAGAGUUUUAUUGUAUAAAUGAUCACUUGUUGAAUUGAUCAUGGACAUAAAAUACCUCGCCUCUAAUCUUGGUAGGGUUUUACGAAGAGGACGGUAUAAAGCAUGAUUUAUCUGUUCCGCAAGCUUAGGGGUUACAUGAUCCUGAGCUACCAAUGACUUCAGGUGAGUGGUAGUGAAAGCAAUGGCUUCAUCUAAUAUAUGUUCUCCGCGAACUGCCAUGUAUGCUGCCUCGUACAAACUUAACAUCCCUUGAACAUCGUUUAUCAACGAUGACUUGAAUCUACCCUCAUCAUCUUUGAACUUCUCAAACACAUCUGAUUAUCACAUUCAAAAAGUAAAUUACUGAAGGCUUACAUGAUUAAUAAUUAUUCAAUGAUUUUGUAAUUUCAAUAAUGUUAGAGCCACAAAUUCUUCAUACAUUACAAACUCAUGAAGUCGCAUCAUAAUUUUGGUUAGAUAAAAAUACCACAUGACUUAUUUUCAUUAUUAUUUUUAUUAAUCAAUCAAUACUCUUACAUGAAAAUAAAAAAGUAGGGUGAGGGUAAAAUCUAAAUUGAUAUUUUAGCCCCGGCCUAGCUUACAAUAUUCAAACUCAAGUGGUUAGCUAAAGAAAACUACUUGAAAAUCAGUCGUCCAAAUCUCUAGAGACAAAUACAAUAAAAAGUGUUUGUGACUGUCGCAUUACUCACAAUUGUAAUAGCUUGAGUGAGAUUACAUACCACAUGAAAUCUUGAUUCCUUGCUGCCUAAGCAAUCGAAAAUGAAGAGAAACGGUGUGAAGAUCAGGGCUAUUACUGUGAAUAUAGUUUGGACAUAAUUUUUGUAUUGCAUCUUCUAUUUCUUUCUCAAAGUGAUAAGCCACCCCCAGGCGUUGUACUUCAUCAAUCAAGCGUAACUUCUGAACAGGCUUAUCUUCAGCAUCUGUUAUCAUUCUCCUUACCUCUUCUUUCAGUGCCUCGUGUCGUUCUUGAGUUGCAGUAUGAUCAACUGUCUGAAGCACAAAAAAUAAUUUGUUAAAUUCAUACAAUAUCUGAUGAAUGGUCAAUUUAAAAAAAAAAAAAGCUGCUUUAAAACCAUUUGGUCAAACUCCUGAAGAUACGGUACAUGCUCACUUAACAAAUCGAGUCCUAUAUGGGAUGUUUGGGUUCAUCUUUACCUUGAAAUCAGAAGCACCUUUGAGGAAAUGGUUUCUCCAUAAACUAGGAUGGAAAUCUGCAGUAGGACGAAAUGUUUCUCCAGACGACAUUUUUGUGUCAGACAAACGGGUGCUGCAGAAUUUUGAUAUUUCUGUGGAAUUAUAAUUUGUAUUUCUACUACUACUGCACCCUUUAAUAUAUACUAAUUCGAUUAUAUCAAGACGGACGCAUGCAACUUGUCUUGAAAGCCUUUUAAUUUAAUUUAUUAUCAAUUCCGAUUCAUUUAAACGCUUGGAUGCAUGGAAACCACGUGAUGGGUCAAUUUUUGACUUUCUGUUAGAUUCUCAAAAUUGUGUCAAUUUUUUUUUCUUUUUCUUUUUGGCCUAUUUAUAACUUAUGGUUUUAAUGGAAAGAUUUUAGUGCAUAUCUGUAUCAUAUUGACAAGUGACAACAACUAGUGUAUUUACUGGGAUAAUUAUUUUUCAGGUAACUCGUUCUCUGUUUAAUCGCAACAAAAUGGCUUGUCUCUAAUUAGAGUUUGAUUAUAUGUUUAAGCUCUUGGUUCUAUUUAGAGUUAGGACUCCAGAAAGUGUUCGUAGAGUUUACACGUACAAGAGAAAUUUUGUUGCUUGCAAUAUUUGGCAUGUAAGGCGGAUGAAAAAUAGGCUUGGGCAUAUGUAUUACAUUGUUUCGGAGUUAGUGCUGAGAUUUUGGCUAACUUUUUAGAAAUAUAUAAUUAGUAGUUAUUUGGAUAAAAAUAUAAAACUAAUUAAAUUUUAACUAUGUAUACGUUUAGGUAUGGAAAAAGACUAUAAAAAAGUUUAGCACAGUUAAACUCAGUAUUGGAUCCAAAUCUGUAAUACAUGGGAACUAUUGAACCUAUCAAGAAGAGCUGACUUGUUAGAAAGAAGAUAUCUUGAUAAAGUUGGCAUGUCUCUUGUAAAGAGAAAAAAAAAAUUAUUAGAAAAGAGAUGGCAUAAAACCAUUAGUAAUUUUGUUGCCUUAAAAACAAAAAUUUAAUGAAGAUCGAACGUCGUGGGCAAAAACGGAAUUCAAAAAUAAAUUUCGUGAUUAAGAAAUGGCCACAACUAUGGUACCACUGUGGUACCAUAGCCGGACCCUUAAGAAAUUUAUGAAUUAUUCACAGGAUUACAAUUUCUUGAGAAUUAAGUAGUCAAAAUAGGAGAGCUAACCGAAUUUAAUUUGAUCUAAUUUAUUUAACCAACAGUCCGUAAUUAAUUGGAUUUGAUUUGAUUUUCUUAUUUUUUUAUUCAACUCAAUCUUCCAAGGACGAAAUAAAAUUUGAUCCAAUUUUAUUCAAUUUAACAAUAACCAAUCUAAAUAACAACAAAAUCAUAUUGUAAAUAUCGAUUCGAAUCAAAUUAAUUAAUUUAAAAGUAUAGUAUUUUCAAAAUAUCUUUUAGAUAUGAUGGUUUUGAGUUUUUAAUCUAUAAUACGUGAUGGAAUGGGGUCAGGUACAAUUUCUAGUACUUUCAUAAAAAGAUUUUAGAUACACGGGUUUUGACCUUUUAUUCUAUAAUACAUGAUGGAGAGAGAUCAGAUAUAAUUAAAAUAAUUCUAUAUUUAUUUUUUUAUUAUAUUUUAUUAUGUAAUAAUGGAGAUUGAUUUUUUUUAGUAAUUAUAGCUAUUUUAAAUUUGUUAUUCCAGAUUUUAUCUUAAAUGAUCGGUUAUUUAUUAAGUGGUUGAUAAUUUUUUUAUAAGAUUCAGGUAAAUUAAUUGUAUUAUCUUAUCAUCCAAUUGAUGUAUGCUAUAUCACUUGGAUAUUUUUUAGGAUAAAAAAUUUAGAAUGUAUGGCACUACUCUUUUUUUUUUUUUUUUGUGAGAUUAUUUGAACCGACUAAAUUACUCUCAACACUAAUUUGCUUAAUAAAUCCAUGACUAAAGUUUAAAAAUAAAAUUUUACUUUAUAUGCUCACCUAAAUGCCCGAUUUACCCCUAUCUCUUUGUAACAUUAUUUGAAAAGCAAAAAGAAGAGAAAGGGGAAAAAAACUUGACAUGGUAUCUUUUAGAUCGGAAAAGAGAGAAGCUUGAUUGUUGGAAUGCAUAGAUAAUCCAAAUCCAAAUCUCAUUUCCAUCUUAAAUCGGUAAUCCAAUUUGGCUACCAUUACAACCAGUAAGUUUAUUUUUUCAAAUUAGAAUACAACAUGCACUACUAGAAAAAUGGUCUUUACUGAUACUUAGUUUGUGACACUUUAUUAAAAAGUAUCAGUAUUUACAUAUAUAUGGACCAUUUUCCGUGUUUAACAUAUAAGUAUCACAAAAUACUAAUACUAUGGUGUCUCUAAAUUAAACAUCAGAGAUUACUGACACUAAAGUAUCUGUAAAAAAUUUAAAGUAAUUAUGAUAUUGGUCCCGAUAAAACUCGAACCCAAGACCUAUAAAAAUUAAGCUUUUAAGUUUUAAACAAAAGCCAUUAUAAUUUUUUGCAAUGACACUAAGGUAUCGCUAACUGUUAAAAAAACAAAAACAAAAACACACGCACACAUUCACACAUGACACCUCACCCCACACACUCACAAGACGCAAAAACAAACCCUAAGUCCUUAACAAUUAACAUUACAAUACUUUGAAAGAGAGAGAGAGAGCGCCGCUACUCUCGAUCCAGUGCUCCAACACCGGCUCAGAUCUCUCGCUUUUAUAUCACCGCGUCAAGCCUCUCCGUCACGCCGUCAAGCCUCCAUCAAGUGUCACUGCUUCAAGCCUCCAUCAAGUGUCACUGCGUCAAGCCUCUCUGUCACGUUGUCAAGCUUCCAUCAUGCGUCACCGCGUCAAGCCUCUCUCUGCUGUCAUAAGCCACCGAUGCGGCACCGCGCCAUUGGUAGUGUCGUUAAGGUGCACCAAAUUUAAAACCUUACCACUAAUAUAAAUAAUUAGUACAGAGCGAGUAAGGAUUGAUCCCACAGAGACUAUACUAGUUAUAUUUAUUAUUAACUCUAAAGCAAUAUUUGAAAUAAAAUAAUGGUAGUAAUAAUAAGAGUAAUAAUAAUAUAAAUUAAUCUAACUAAAGAAAAUGCCAAUUAUAAAUAAAAAGGGGGUUUAUGAAUUUUUUAACUAAAUAGUAAGAAGUAAAGAAAUUAAAACUACGAACAAGAAUUCAAUAAAAACUCUAAUUAAAGGAGAAAGAAAUAAUAAUCAAUUUAAGAUAACGGAAGCAUUAAAUAAAGAAAGAUAUUAUGUUGAUCUAGGCAAUAAACACACAAGCUCGGAUUAUUUAACCUAGGUUAUGUUCUUCAAUUGAAAUCAUGAAUUCCAACCUGCUACUAAUGAUUAAAAUAUCAAGACAAUUACAGAUCAAGAAUUUUAAUCUAACAAUAAAAUUUAUUCAAGUCCUAUCUAAUUGACCACUCAAAUAAAACAAGAAUAAACCAUGAACAUUAAUUAUAGAAGAACAUAAACAAUCUCAAUUAAAUAAAUUGAAUGAUAGAAUUUAAAUUUAAUUGCAUAGCAUGUUUAGGGUUUUGAAUUCACCCUCAACCAAAUAAAAAUCUAGCCUAACAUAAUUGAAUUGGGAAUAAGAGAAUUGAUAAAACCAGUCAUGUAGAUUAAUUCAAGCGGCUGCCUUUGCUUCAAUUUUAAUUCCUUCCGGCGUCUCCCUUGUUUUUUUCCUUCUUGCAGCUGCAAUCUCAAAUUCUCUUGCUGCCGAUUCUCCUCCAGUGUUGAUUCUGCUUGAUCCUAUUUAUAAUGCUUCAAUUGUGGCUUUUUUAAAUCCUUGCCUGGAAAGAAUUAAAUUCAAAGCCCAAAACCGCCACUUUCAUGCUUCAAUUAAUAAGCCAAUAAUGAUUUCCUAAAGCCAAAAGGCUUUAUUCUCUUUCCUUUCACGUGGCCACUUUUGAUUUGCAAUCUUUGUUUUCCAAUUUUGCUUUCAUGUGAUGGCUUGGCUUGUUAAUUGGUUUGGCUUCCUUUUUGACUUUCAUUUUCUAAUUUUAGCUCCAUGUACAACAUUAAUUUUGCUUGGCCGAUACAAGCUUUAAUUAAAUUUAUUUUCUAAUUCCUUCCAAUUCUUGAUCUCUUGUGCACUUUUGUCUUUCAAUCUUCAAUCAAAUUUCUGUCCUGAAUGCUCCGAUUUAAUUUCUCUUUAAUUCCAGAAUAUACCUAAAAUAAAAAAAUAAAUAAAACUAAGAUAAAAAUUAACACAAUAAAAUAUAAUUUACUAAAUUAAAAGUUAACUAAAAUAACUAGAAUAUUUAAGACCAAAACAAGAAAAAGAUAGAGAAAUUAAUAGCAAAAUAUAUGGAAAAUAUGCACUUAUCAGCCAUCACUAGCCAACCAGCCACCAAAAUUGACAGCCGUGCUAGCUACCCACCAUCACAAUACCCUACCACUGCCUGCUAAUACUCCAAAAAAUCUUCUCAAAACUUCGAGCCACAGUGUCCAGGUCUGGUUUUUCAAGUCUUGCUUUUUUAAGUUUUUAGUAUCAUCAAGUCUUGCUUCUUCAAGUCUUAAAGUGUAUCUUCAGUCACCAAUUAUAUUUAUGGGUAUUCACUGGUUCGUUGAGUAAUUUUUUCAAACAGAUGGGGUAUUGCGUCAUAACAGCCUUGUAUAUUUCUAUAUCUAAUAUUGAAUGAAUGAAUGAAUCUAUGUGUAGCUUACGAAAUGCAAAAUCAGGAGUAGUAACAAUUAAAGAACAAUUAAAACUGAAAUGAAAGCAUAAUCACAAGUUGUUUAUUGAUUUACCUUUCAAUAAAUCUCUCUCUCACACUUACACACUCUGCUCUCUAACCUACCUUUUUGACUUGGCUCCCAAAAAAUAAUAAAGUAAAAUUUUGGUCCCAAGAAAGUUUGAUUUCUAAACAAAGGGGAAAAAAAAGUUAAAAGAAAGUAAGAUUUAUUUUACAAAUUUUACGGUGCUUCUCUUUUAGAACUGUAUGUAUAAAUAAUAAUAAUAAUAUGAGUUUCAUAGAAAAUUUAAUUUAUUUGAUCAUGUUCAUUGAUAUGCUUUAACAAUGCUUUAUUAAUUCUGUUAAUUUGCUUUAACAAUGCUUUAUUAAUUCUAUUAAUUGCACUUCUUAACUCCUACUUAUCAUAUGAUUAACCCCUUAGUUUGGUUGGGAUGAUUGGUACUUUCUAUUUUUAACUUAUGGUGGAGCGUUUGAGUCUUGCGGUGACCUAUUAGUUUGGUUAAGUUGAUCGGCACUUUCUAUCUUUAACUUACGAUGGAGCAUUCGAGUCUGGCAGUAAAUAUAUAUUAGAGUUUAUUUUUUUAUUCGAAGGGAAAAUCUUUAAAUAACAAUAAAAAUAUAAAAUAUUUAUUAGUACAGACCAAUACGAUACACCGUAUUUCCUUCAAACACAAACCAAGGAACUGAAAAUAUUAUUAAUAGAAGUAUAGAACUAGUCGUCAAAAUGGAACGUGGUCUCCUAGCACAGAAGCAAUUUGAUCUUUAAUUAGGUAAGAAUGCGUAUAGCCGUCGUCCUCUUUGUAAAUAAAAUCAAUUGCACGAGCAAGAUUAAGAAUCGUCCCGAGCAGUGGUCGGGCAACGACGGUUGGCUUCAUCAUCAACUCCUCGUUAAUAUCUUUCCAUGCAUUUGCAACUUCUUCUUCAAACAUUUUAAUUGCCUCUUCCUUAGAGACACCAUGCUGCUUCGUGUAACAUUCAAUAGCUGACGCAACAUGUCCUCUCUUCUGCUCAAACUACAUAUAUAAUAACAUAUGGUUUAGUAUCGGUGCCUGUUUA